AUUGAACGCUGGCGGCAUGCCUAACACAUGCAAGUCGAGCGGUUGAAUGUUUCUUUCUCCUUUAUUCAGCUUCGGACUGGUGAUUAAUUCCUAUGUUUCUGCCUUUUUUUUUUUUAUUACGUCCUUAAACGGGCUCUAAUACCGCAUUCUUCCUUAUUUUGUAAUUUUUUUAUCUUCUUUCCUCUCGCUUUCUUAUUACCCUAGGUCGGAUUAGCUAGUUGGUUGGGUAAAGGCCUACCAAGGCGACGAUCCGUAACUGGUAUGAGAGGAUGAUCAGUCACACUGGAACUGAGACACGGAACAGAGUCCUACGGGAGGCAGCAGUGGGGAAUAUUGGACAAUGGGCGAAAGCAUGAUAAAGCCAUGCCGCGUGUGUGAAGAAGGUCUUCGGAUUGUAAAGCAAUUUAAGUUGGGAGGAAGGGAAGUAAGUUAAUAACUUGCUGUAUUGACGUUAACAACAGAAUAAGCAACGGCUAACUACGUG
rnacentral:rRNA from 1 species